rnacentral:rRNA from 1 species
UACGGAGGGUGCAAGCGUUAUCCGGAUUCACUGGGUUUAAAGGGUGCGUAGGCGACAGGUAAGUCAGUGGUGAAAUCUCUGGGCUUAACCCAGAACUGCCGUUGAUACUAUUUGUCUUGAAUAUCCUGGAGGUAGGCGGAAUAUGUCAUGUAGCGGUGAAAUGCUUAGAUAUGACAUAGAACACCGAUAGCGAAGGCAGCUUACUACAGGAUGAUUGACGGCUGAGGCACGAAAGCGUGGGGAGCAAACAG